GGGCCCAGUUUACGAAUGUCGAUUUGGAGGUUGUGCCCUUGAGGCGUGGCUUCCGAAGCUAACGCGUUAAAUCGACCGCCUGGGGAGUACGGCCGCAAGGUUAAAACUCAAAUGAAUUGACGGGGGCCCGCACAAGCGGUGGAGCAUGUGGUUUAAUUCGAUGCAACGCGAAGAACCUUACCUACUCUUGACAUCCAGCGAAUCCUGUAGAGAUACGGGAGUGCCUUCGGGAACGCUGAGACAGGUGCUGCAUGGCUGUCGUCAGCUCGUGUUGUGAAAUGUUGGGUUAAGUCCCGCAACGAGCGCAACCCUUAUCCUUUGUUGCCAGCGGUUCGGCCGGGAACUCAAAGGAGACUGCCAGUGAUAAACUGGAGGAAGGUGGGGAUGACGUCAAGUCAUCAUGGCCCUUACGAGUAGGGCUACACACGUGCUACAAUGGCGUAUACAAAGAGAAGCGAACUCGCGAGAGCAAGCGGACCUCAUAAAGUACGUCGUAGUCCGGAUUGGAGUCUGCAACUCGACUCCAUGAAGUCGGAAUCGCUAGUAAUCGUGGAUCAGAAUGCCACGGUGAAUACGUUCCCGGGCCUUGUACACACCGCCCGUCACACCAUGGGAGUGGGUUGCAAAAGAAGUAGGUAGCUUAACCUUCGGGAGGGCGCUUACCACUUUGUGAUUCAUGACUGGGGUGAAGUCGUAGAAGGAUAACACUAGAUUAA
rnacentral:rRNA from 1 species